GCGUUGCACUGCGCCUGCUCAGAGCGGACACGCAGGACAGGGCUGCCGUGUCCCUCCCGGGACUUGGGUUGGAGGCAGAGAGUGGGGGCCCUUCUUUCUCUCUUUAGGUUUGCGGAGCUUGCUCUUUGGCCACUUGUGCGUUUGACUACACAGGACUUGGGCUGGGUAUCCAGGCGUGCCGGAAUGCCCCCUGCAGAACAGCCAGCCAUCCCUGCUGUUUGUUGUCUCGCGGCUUUGACCUUGUGAUGCUGAGUGCCAACAGUUAGAGAUGUCUCAUGCUUCAUCCUCUGCAAUGCUGGUGAUUUAGUCUCUAAGUCAUGUCUGACUCUUGCAACCCCAUGGGCUGCAUGUAACCCACCAGGCUCCUCUGUCCAGGGAUUCUCCAGGCAAGAAUACUGGAGUGGAUGGCCGUUUCCUUCUCCAUUCCUCCUUGGUAGCUGAUGGUGAUAGAAACUCCCCCCACUGCAUCCUGAGUCCCAGAGCCUGGUGUGAACACAGACAUGAGAAAAGGCAGGGUUCUAAGAGUAGGUGGCGGGUUGCAAGGUUUGGAGGCAGGGAGCUCACGUGAGCAGAGAGGUGUGUCUUCCAAAACAAAGUCCUACAGCCAGCAUAUGUGCCCUGGCGCCGGUGGGCGAACUUCUGUGUGCCCCCCGUGAUCUCACACUCCUCCUGAGCCAGGGAGGAUCAUGGCCGUGAUAUGAGAGAGUCAGAGAGUCUUCUUUAACACAGAACAUCCUGUCCAAAACUGCCCGCUUAUCCCCAAGCUUGACGCAGCUGCAGUGUAUGCUUUACAAAUGUUUUUUCUCUUCUCAUGUGUUUUUUUGUUUGUUUUUGCUAAUUAAUCAAUGUGUUUAGAAUGUCUUCAUUCAACAUGAGGGUUGUUCAGUGGGUGCCCCUUGUGUGUGGCUCCAUGGAAGAUGGGCAGAGUCAUUAAGAAGUUACCAGAAGCUGAUCAGCUGGGAGCAUGAAAAGGUUAGCGCUUCAGUAAAUAGAUUUCUUCUGGACCUAAUAAGCAGUUUUUUUUUUCCUCUCGCUUUUAAGUAGCACCCCCUUUUCUUGUUUGGUAAUUUAAAGGUAUCUAAAGACAUGCAUUUAAAAAAAAAAGACAUGUAUAUAUUGUCAGUGCAUACACGAGAUGUGGCUCUAAGAUUGUAUGUCGAGUUUCUUUUCUUAAUAUCCAAAAGAUCCAAGUGUUUCAUCUCACCCUGCUUUGUGAGACUCUUGCUGAUGACUACAGUGCUGUCCAAGUAGAAACAUUCUGUAAACACCUCUGUUAGGAUGGAUUUGGGGGCCUGACACGUUCCUCUGGUUAUCCUUAGAGAUGAGGGAGCAUCAUCCUUUGAGAAUGGGUUUAAGAUUGGAAAUAAACCCAAGUCAUUGACUCAGUUGGAUAAGUAAAAAUGGGUGAUGAAGGUAAGUCACAUCCUUUUAGCUCUUUCUUUUAAAAAAAAAAAAAGUCCCUAAGAUGUUCCUGGGGAUACUGCAUCUUUGGACUCCUUUCAGAGUGACCACUUCAAAGGAAAACAGUAAUCACUAGUACAUGUAACUCCCAAUGGAUUAAAAAAAAAAAAAAAAGCUGCUCUCUUGUCACGCCUUAUACGUGUUCACAUCUCUGCGUACACACGGAUGUAAAUGCACAUUCAUGAGUAUCUGUCUGCCUCCAGUCGGAAUUCCAUAAAACCAUGUUAGACUUAAGUGCAUGUUAUUGUCAUAUUAGGCCAAAACCGGGGUGUUUCUUUGUCGUGAAAGUUUGCUUCUUCACGGAAUUAGAGCACUGUUUUCAGUAUAAUGGAACCCAUAUACAACGUUCUCUUGUAUCAGCUCUGGAGUUUUGGUGCCCAGUGGUCUAUUUCCAUGUGGUUUACCUAGAAUUCUGUUCACACAGAGACACCUAUAAGUAUUUAUUACAAACUGGGAUGUGAACAGACUGACCCAUAGUGGUUUUCUUUGAUUUAAGGUGUUUUCCCCCUUUGUAGAGCGGAAUCUGGGACGUUCUGUGAGGCAGGGCGGGUCAGGCACCCACCUCGGCCAGAACCCUGCUGGCUUGGGUGCCACUGCGCUUCCUGCCAGGUGCGUGUGCUGUAUUCUCUCCAGCAGACUCUGAUGUAUCAUUGUGGCAUCUUCGUAUGGCUGGUCUGUCCUGGGGGGGCGGGAAGCCCAGAGCUGCAACGGCCGGAUGGGUCUGUGUACAGAGCAGGGAAAUUCAGGAAGACGGUUGUGUCCCCCACAGCAAAUAUUGAUCCUGUUGGUCAGCCAAAGAUUUUCCUAUCCUUUGCUGCUUAAAUUUGUGCCUUAAUAUUGUAUAUAAUAAAUGGAUUAAAAAAAAAAAA
ensembl:lncRNA